rnacentral:rRNA from 1 species
AUCCUGAGGGAAACUUCGGCGUUAAACCCCAGCGCGGAAUGAAAGUGAACGUAGGUGAGAGCUUCGGCGCAUCACCGACCGAUCCUGAUGUCCUCGGACGGAUUUGAGUGAGAGCAUAUAGGGUUGGACCCGAAAGAAGAUGAACUAUGCGUGUGUAGGGUGAAGCCAGAGGAAACUCUGGUGGAGGCUCGCAGCGGUUCUGACGUGCAAAUCGAUCGUCAAACAUGCGCAUGGGGGCGAAAGACUAAUCGAAUCUUCUGGUAGCUGGUUUCCGCCGAAGUUUCCCUCAGGAU